rnacentral:rRNA from 1 species
AUUGAACGCUGGCGGCGUGCCUUACACAUGCAAGUCGAACGGUAACAGGUCUUCGGAUGCUGACGAGUGGCGAACGGGUGAGUAAUACAUCGGAACGUGCCCGAUCGUGGGGGAUAACGGAGCGAAAGCUUUGCUAAUACCGCAUACGAUCUACGGAUGAAAGCAGGGGACCGCAAGGCCUUGCGCGGACGGAGCGGCCGAUGGCAGAUUAGGUAGUUGGUGGGAUAAAAGCUUACCAAGCCGACGAUCUGUAGCUGGUCUGAGAGGACGACCAGCCACACCGGGACUGUGACACGGCGCAGACUCCUACGCGAGGCAGCAGUGGGGAACUGUGAACAAUGGGCGAAAGCCUGAUCCAGCCAUGCCGAGUGCAGGAUGCAGACGUUCGGGUUGUUAACUGCUUUUGUACGGAACGAAAAGCCUCUCUCUAAUAAAGAGAGGACAUGACGGGACCGUAAGAAUAAGCACCGGCUAACUACGUGCCAGCAGCCGCAGUAAGAC